rnacentral:rRNA from 1 species
GGGUGAGUAAUGCUUGGGAACUUGCCUUUGCGAGGGGGAUAACAGUUGGAAACGGCUGCUAAUACCGCAUAAUGUCUUCGGACCAAACGGGGCUUCGGCUCCGGCGCAAAGAGAGGCCCAAGUGAGAUUAGCUAGUUGGUAAGGUAACGGCUUACCAAGGCGACGAUCUCUAGCUGUUCUGAGAGGAAGAUCAGCCACACUGGGACUGAGACACGGCCCAGACUCCUACGGGAGGCAGCAGUGGGGAAUAUUGCACAAUGGGGGAAACCCUGAUGCAGCCAUGCCGCGUGUGUGAAGAAGGCCUUCGGGUUGUAAAGCACUUUCAGUUGUGAGGAAAAGUUAGUAGUUAAUACCUGCUAGCCGUGACGUUAACAACAGAAGAAGCACCGGCUAACUCCGUGCCAGCAGCCGCGGUAAUACGGAGGGUGCGAGCGUUAAUCGGAAUUACUGGGCGUAAAGCGCACGCAGGCGGUUUGUUAAGCUAGAUGUGAAAGCCCCGGGCUCAACCUGGGAUGGUCAUUUAGAACUGGCAGACUAGAGUCUUGGAGAGGGGAGUGGAAUUCCAGGUGUAGCGGUGAAAUGCGUAGAUAUCUGGAGGAACAUCAGUGGCGAAGGCGACUCCCUGGCCAAAGACUGACGCUCAUGUGCGAAAGUGUGGGUAGCGAACAGGAUUAGAUACCCUGGUAGUCCACACCGUAAACGCUGUCUACUAGCUGUGUGUGUCUUUAAGACGUGCGUAGCGAAGCUAACGCGCUAAGUAGACCGCCUGGGGAGUACGGGCCGCAAGGUUAAAACUCAAAUGAAUUGACGGGGGGCCCGC